rnacentral:rRNA from 1 species
UGCGUAGGGCGCGAGCGUUGUCCGGAAUUAUUGGGCGUAAAGAGCUCGUAGGCGGCCUGUUGCGUCCGCUGUGAAAUCCCAGGGCUCAACCCUGGGCGUGCAGUGGAUACGGGCAGGCUGGAGGCAGGCAGGGGAGAACGGAAUUCCCGGUGUAGCGGUGAAAUGCGCAGAUAUCAAGUGGGACACCAGUGGCGAAGGCGAGUCUCUGGACAUUUCCUGACGCUGAGGCACGAAAGCCAGGGGAGCAAACGGG